GUUCAUAUUCUAAAGAGAGCAGGCACUGAGCAAACGUUUGUUGAACUGAACCAAUCUGCUGGUUAUGGGGACAUGACCUCCACUUCAUGGUGUUGAACUAAACAAACACAUACUUCUCCAGACAAAUAUUAACACUGGUGAACUUCAAAAUAAUGUGAAAAGCUCCUAUGUUUCCAUGCCUCAUUAUAUGCCACAAAAAAUCAAAUGAUAAGAACAAGAACAAAUUCCCUAGGUCCAGCACAAAUAGAGGAGGGUUCACUCGUAGGCAGCAUCUGAGCAACAGGCUCACCAGACUUCAGCCUCUUCACUCCGACUCUUCCAAACUCCAGCUCUCUUCAUUAAGAUAUUCUGGAAGCAACUGAGGAGUUUCUACAAACAUUUUGGAAAUUACAGCAGGUCAAGUGGAAGUUUGUUUUCAUUUCAGUUAAGGUACGAGUUGUUCUGACUGCCGUGCAGACAUUCACACGCCCGCUGCUAGAAAGCUGGAGCUGGAAGGAGCAUCGGGGCCCGCUGAGUCCUCCUUUCUCAUGUAUGGAUGCGGAUGUGGAGGCAGGCCCUAAGUCUUAGUGUAGGUGCCGAUGGUGCAGGUUGACUCACUUAAAGAAGAAUUUGAAUCAUUAUCUAACAGAAAAAGAUCAAUAACAAGCAUUAUUGCUGGAACAUUCUAUGGAUAGACUGCUUUCUAUACAUGAUUGGUGAAUAUUGUAUUUCAAUUAAUUAUAUAUCCUGAUAAUAUAUGAAUUAAUACUGUGAUAUCCUGCAUACAAUAACAAUACUCAAUGGAAAUAUAG
rnacentral:sRNA from 1 species